UCUUGUGGCCGUUUGUGUGUUUCAGCCAUAGACAUCUAGCCUACUAUAACAGAAAGCUUUUUAUAAUAUGUAUGUGCUUUCAGCUUUCCAUUAGGGCUUGAGUGGCCUCUAGUGGCUGCAUGAAGCGACAUCAAAUAUUCUCUCUACCUCAGUUUUUGUUUUGUGCUUGUUUUGUGUGAAUGUACUAGGUUUAAAUAAUCUGUCGUUGGCCCGAGUGGAUUAGGGUGUUAGUCCGGCCUGCUUUGCUUCAUGUCCCGGUUUAAACCUGCUUUUAUAGUUUUGACUUUUUCAACUACAAAAUACCCUAAAUCUAAUCAUUGCUGUAUAUAAGUAGCACAUUUGAUUCAGUAACUGACUACAACGUUUGCUAAUGCUUAACUUUCCAUCCAACAUAAUAAGACACCAAACCAAAGUGUUUUGGUAGCGUACAAACGUUAAAUUAGAUGUUAAAUGUCUUUAAAGUAGGACAUCUGGUUUAAAAGGUUGUCAAUGUUUACAAAAAUGAAGAGCAAUAAAUAGACCAUGCGUCACGUUAAAACUAGGCCAGUAGAACACCGCUGUCUAUAUCACCGCUGAAGAGAUGAAGUGUAGAAAUGUCCCAGGAUCUCAAAUCAGUAUCGAGCUGGGACUCUAAGGUUUUAUGUCUGGGAAUGAAGCACUGUGGUCAUCCGGUUCGAACUUCAAGCUUUUAAUGGGAUCUGGAACCAAGUUAAAUGUGCAGCAAAAAACUGAAGUGAAGCCGAAUAUUUACCAAGUGGGAAACUCAUGCCUGGCAACUGACUUCACAAAGCACAACGUGUUCAACAUUACCGAUUCACCUUUUCUUAAAACGUCGGCUGUCCGAUAUUCAGGCCAAAAUUACUACAGCAGCUUAAAAUUCGGCUUAGAUGACUGCGAGGAGACAGGCGUUUGUUCAUCAUCCGGUGGAGGUACAGAUUUAGAAAGAGAUGAAAAAGUCAACUUCUUGUCACUGGGCAUCUUCUGGCUGAGGAUUCUCUUUCUGAAGACAGUCGUUUUCAAUGUGCUGGUGACUUUCAAAGCAUGGAUGAGCUAACGACUCCUGGUGUGACUGCAGUGCCUGAAGUCUCCAAGAGAGGGCAAAGAGCAAGAUGAUCCUGCCAGCCAAAACUGAGGACCUGCUGCCAUCUAUUGUCAUUAUUUUGAUCUGCAGCUUUUAGUUUACAACUACCUGUAGUACUUCAAUAUUCAACACUAGAUGGAGGCAUUGUAUAAACAAUAUAAAUAAUCUCUGCGUAAAUACUUUACUGGAUUUGCCUGAAACAGAUUUGCUUUGAUAUUGGCAAUGUGUGAAAAUGUGCUCGUUGUAUUUAAUAUAAAACAAUUUUAUUAACAUAAGUAGCCUAUGUAUAAACCAUAUGUUUGUAUGAUUAGACCCAUUCUAUCACCCCUUGGCACUUUGAUCAUGAAUGUGAAGUAUUUUUUCAAUGGAAUAUUGCAUCACAUUGCAUCAUAUUUCUUUAUCUCACUGUAUUUUUUAAUGUUGUUAUUUAAUGUAAAACAAAUAAGCCUUCUCUGUCCAUUAAAGUAGUCUAUAGCAAAUGACAAUGAUUCAAUUCCUGUUCAAAAUCAACUUG